AGUGGUUGUGGCUGGCCGGUGUGGCCGUGGCGCUGGUGCUGCCGCUGCUGGCGCUGUUCCGCCAAGCCUGGUUCGACGGCGCGGGGCGCUG
rnacentral:tRNA from 1 species